GUUCUCUUAGUUAAACUGGAUAUAAUAAACCGUUCCUAACGGUUAGUUACGGGUUCGAAUCCUGUAGAGAACG
rnacentral:tRNA from 2 species